rnacentral:rRNA from 1 species
GAUGAACGCUGGCGGCGUGCCCAACACAUGCAAGUCGAGCGAAUGGAUUGAGAGCUUGCUCUCGAGAAGUUAGCGGCGGACGGGUGAGUAACACGUGGGUAACCUGCCCAUAAGACUGGGAUAACUCCGGGAAACCGGGGCUAAUACCGGAUAACAUUUUGAACCGCAUGGUUCGAAAUUGAAAGGCGGCUUCGGCUGUCACUUAUGGAUGGACCCGCGUCGCAUUAGCUAGUUGGUGAGGUAACGGCUCACCAAGGCAACGAUGCGUAGCCGACCUGAGAGGGUGCCCGGGCACACUGGGACUGAGACACGGCCCAGACGCCUACGGGAGGCAGCAGUAGGGAAUCUUCCGCAAUGGACGAAAGUCUGACGGAGCAACGCCGCGUGAGUGAUGAAGGCUUUCGGGUCGUAAAACUCUGUUGUUAGGGAAGAACAAGUGCUAGUUGAAUAUGCUGGCACCUUGACGGUACCUAACCAGAAAGCCACGGCUAACUACGUGCCAGCCGCCGCCGUAAGAC